AUAUUGGUUUAUAUCUUACAUAAGAUACUAUUUUUCUAGCUUAUCAAUGUACUAAAAUCUCAAUGAUGAAGUGUUGUGUUUCUGGUUCAUUUAUUUUGUUGUUUCUUAGCACUCAUUAUUUAACAUCAGACAGUAAUAUUCCAAAUCUUUUGAAUCCCCACUCAGUGGCAGCUUGAGGUGACGGAAGUACCUUAUAACUGACUUGGCUGGGCAUUUUAAUUGGAUAUGAGGGGAAUGCUCUUCCUCCCUGUCAUUCCCCGCAAUGGAGGCCUUCAAGGGAGUGAAGAACAAACACCUCAGUAUAUUACAAGUGAGAUGAAGCAUAGGAAGGAGUGCUUACACCAGUUUUUGCUUUCCAAACUUAUCCUUUGCUGCUGUAAGUAACUCCAUCUCCGUGAGCUUAUAUAGAAGUUUCUGUCCUACUGUUUUUGAACUAUUUUGAGUUGACAGAAUCUUACAUCUUUUUAGUGGCAUUAUUUUGGUUCUUCCCAAUCUCAUCUCCACUUGUAUCAUGCCCCGGAAUAUAUUUGGUUGUACAUUAUUUUUGUGACACAUUUUGCCUAACACAUUGUCCAGAUGAUAGCAAGUUCUAAGAAUAAAGUAGUGAGCUUUAGGUUGACUAUUUUUGAUAAA